GGGCGUGUAGCUCAGUUGGUUAGAGCAUUCCUCUGAUAAGGGAAAGGUCGUAGGUUCGACUCCUACCACGCCCA
rnacentral:tRNA from 2 species